rnacentral:tRNA from 1 species
UGGCGUAGUGGUUACUGCGAUCGCCUUGCACGCGGGAGACCCGGGUUCAAUUCCCGG